rnacentral:rRNA from 1 species
UGCAGUCGACGCUGAUGCACCAGCUUGCUGGUGUGGAUGAGUGGCGAACGGGUGAGUAAUACGUGAGUAACCUGCCCUUGACUCUGGGAUAAGCCCGGGAAACUGGGUCUAAUACUGGAUGCUACAUGUCACCGCAUGGUGGUGUGUGGAAAGGGUUUACUGGUCUUGGAUGGGCUCACGGCCUAUCAGCUUGUUGGUGAGGUAAUGGCUCACCAAGGCGACGACGGGUAGCCGGCCUGAGAGGGUGACCGGCCACACUGGGACUGAGACACGGCCCAGACUCCUACGGGAGGCAGCAGUGGGGAAUAUUGCACAAUGGGCGAAAGCCUGAUGCAGCGACGCCGCGUGAGGGAUGACGGCCUUCGGGUUGUAAACCUCUUUCAGCAGGGAAGAAGCCACAAGUGACGGUACCUGCAGAAGAAGCGCCGGCUAACUACGUGCCAGCAGCCGCGGUAAUACGUAGGGCGCAAGCGUUGUCCGGAAUUAUUGGGCGUAAAGAGCUCGUAGGCGGUUUGUCGCGUCUGCUGUGAAAGCCCGGGGCUUAACCCCGGGUGUGCAGUGGGUACGGGCAGACUAGAGUGCAGUAGGGGAGACUGGAAUUCCUGGUGUAGCGGUGGAAUGCGCAGAUAUCAGGAGGAACACCGAUGGCGAAGGCAGGUCUCUGGGCUGUUACUGACGCUGAGGAGCGAAAGCAUGGGGAGCGAACAGGAUUAGAUACCCUGGUAGUCCAUGCCGUAAACGUUGGGCACUAGGUGUGGGGGACAUUCCACGUUUUCCGCGCCGUAGCUAACGCAUUAAGUGCCCCGCCUGGGGAGUACGGCCGCAAGGCUAAAACUCAAAGGAAUUGACGGGGGCCCGCACAAGCGGCGGAACAUGCGGAUUAAUUCGAUGCAACGCGAAGAACCUUACCAAGGCUUGACAUAUACCCGGAUCGUUCCAGAGAUGGUUCUUCCCCUUUGGGGGUCGGUAUACAGGUGGGUGCAUGGGUUGUCGUCCGCCUCCGGGUCCUGGAAAUGUUGGGGUUAAGUCCCCGCAACGAAGCGCAACCCCUCGUUUCCAUGUUGGCCAACCACCUUGAUGGGGGGGGAACUCAUGGGGAAAACUGCCCGGGGUUCAACUCCGGAAGAAAGGGUGGGGGAUGAACGUCCAAAUCCUUCCUUGCCCCCUUAA